rnacentral:rRNA from 1 species
UCAGCACGUGAGUCCAUUUUCUGCCACCGAAUACAUUAGCAUGGGAUAAUGGAAUAGGACCCUGUCCUCCUAUUUUCAGUUGGUUUUGGCAGCGCGAGGACUAGGGUAAUGAUUAAUAGGGAUAGUUGGGGGCAUUAAUAUUUAAUUGUCAGAGGUGAAAUUCUUGGAUUUAUGAAAGAUUAACUUCUGCGAAAGCAUCUGCCAAGGAUGUUUUCAUUAAUCAAGAACGAAAGUUAGGGGAUCGAAGACGAUCAGAUACCGUCGUAGUCUUAACCAUAAACGAUGCCGACCAGCGAUUAGGAGACGUUGAAUACAAAACACCACCAUCGGUUGCGGUCGUCCUUGGCGUCUCGGUUUCGGCCGGGGCGCGGGGAUGGCUUAGCCCGGUGGCACCGGUGAAUGACUCCCCUAGCAGCUUUGGUGAGAA